rnacentral:misc_RNA from 1 species
AAUUCUCAAACCUGAAUCGUGUGGUUCAGGCUUGGAUUUGGAGUGUGCUGGCCCCUUGAGGGUUGUUGGCUCCUCUGAAAUUUAUUAGCGAAGAGGCUCUCUUAUCCCCCCAAAAGCUUUUUUUUGGCACUGAUAAACUUGUCUGUGCCUUUUCUGCUUUGGCGGGCUUUUAUUUGUAGCAGCUCGCUCACAAAAGUCCAUUCUUUUUGACCAAA